rnacentral:rRNA from 1 species
UACGUAGGGAGCAAGCGUUGUCCGGAAUUACUGGGCGUAAAGGGCGUGUAGGCGGGAACUUAAGUCAGGUGUGAAAACUCCAGGCUCAACUUGGAGAUUGCAUUUGAAACUAAGUUUCUUGAGGGCAGGAGAGGAAAGUGGAAUUCCUAGUGUAGCGGUGAAAUGCGUAGAUAUUAGGAGGAACACCAGUGGCGAAGGCGACUUUCUGGACUGAACCUGACGCUGAGGCGCGAAAGCGUGGGUAGCAAAC